UCCUACGGGUGGCAGCAGUGGGGAAUAUUGGACAAUGGGCGAAAGCCUGAUCCAGCCAUGCCGCGUGAGUGAUGAAGGCCCUAGGGUUGUAAAGCUCUUUCGCAGGUGAAGAUAAUGACGGUAACCUGAGAAGAAGCCCCGGCUAACUUCGUGCCAGCAGCCGCGGUAAUACGAAGGGGGCUAGCGUUGUUCGGAAUUACUGGGCGUAAAGCGCACGUAGGCGGAUACUUAAGUUAGGGGUGAAAUCCCAGGGCUGAACCCUGGAACUGCCUUUAAUACUGGGUAUCUCGAGUCCGAGAGAGGUGAGUGGAAUUCCGAGUGUAGAGGUGAAAUUCGUAGAUAUUCGGAGGAACACCAGUGGCGAAGGCGGCUCACUGGCUCGGUACUGACGCUGAGGUGCGAAAGCGUGGGGAGCAAACAGGAUUAGAUACCCUUGUAGUCCCU
rnacentral:rRNA from 1 species